GGAUUGCAGGCUGNAACCCGCCUGCAUGAAGCCGGAAUCGCUAGUAAUCGCGGAUCAGAAUGCCGCGGUGAAUACGUUCCCGGGUCUUGUACACACCGCCCGUCACACCAUGGGAGUCAAUAACGCCCGAAGUCAGUGACCCAACCGAAAGGAGGGAGCUGCCGAAGGCGGGAUGGAUAACUGGGGUGAAGUCGUAACAAGGUAGC
rnacentral:rRNA from 1 species